rnacentral:lncRNA from 1 species
ACCACGUUGGCCAGGCUGGUCUCGAACUCCUGAACUCAGGUGAUCCACCCACCUCGGCCUCCCAAAGUGCUGGGAUUACAGGCGUGAGCCACCUCGCCUGGCCCCACCCCACUUCUCUCUAAGGAGAAUGGCCCAUUCCUCUCCCAAGUCUACUCAGGGGAGGUGAUAGCAUUGCUUUUGUGUAAAUUAUGUAAUGCAAAAGUUUUUUAAUCUUUGCCUCAAUACUUUUAAAUUUUAUUUUAUUUUAUUUUGAAUGAUCUGCCUUCAUGGCACCCCCUUUUUUGUCCCCCAGCAUGAGAUGUACGAAGGCUUUUGGUCUCCCUGGGAGUGGGUGGAGGCAGCCAGGGCUUACCUGUACACUGACUUGAGACCAGUUGAAUAAAAGUGCACACCUUAAAAAAAAAAAUAGG